rnacentral:rRNA from 1 species
CAGCCGCCGCGGUAAAACGUAGGUGGCAAGCGUUGUCCGGAAUUAUUGGGCGUAAAGCGCGCGCAGGCGGAUCAGUCAGUCUGUCUUAAAAGUUCGGGGCUUAACCCCGUGAUGGGAUGGAAACUGCUGGUCUAGAGUAUCGGAGAGGAAAGUGGAAUUCCUAGUGUAGCGGUGAAAUGCGUAGAUAUUAGGAAGAACACCAGUGGCGAAGGCGACUUUCUGGACGAAAACUGACGCUGAGGCGCGAAGGCCAGGGGAGCGAACGGGAUUAGAUACCCGCGUAGUCCCUGUCUCUUAUACA